AGAGUUUGAUCAUGGCUCAGAGCGAACGCUGGCGGCAGGCCUAACACAUGCAAGUCGAGCGCCCAGCAAUGGGAGCGGCAGACGGGAGAGUAACACGUGGGAACGUGCCCUUCAGUUCGGAACAACCAAGGGAAACUUUGGCUAAUACCGGAUACGUCCGAAAGGAGAAAGAUUUAUCGCUGAAGGAGCGGCCCGCGUCUGAUUAGCUAGUUGGUGAGGUAAUGGCUCACCAAGGCGACGAUCAGUAGCUGGUCUGAGAGGAUGAUCAGCCUCACUGGGACUGAGACACGGCCCAGACUCCUACGGGAGGCAGCAGUGGGGAAUAUUGGACAAUGGGCGCAAGCCUGAUCCAGCCAUGCCGCGUGGAUGAUGAAGGCCCUAGGGUUGUAAAGUCCUUUCGUUGGGGAAGAUAAUGACGGUACCCAAAGAAGAAGCCCCGGCUAACUUCGUG
rnacentral:rRNA from 1 species